rnacentral:tRNA from 1 species
GGAGAUGUGGCUGAGCGGUUGAAGGCACCACACUCGAAAUGUGGCGUACGGGUAACCGUAUCGGAGGUUCGAAUCCUCCCAUCUCCGCAA